AGGGGCAUCGGGAGGAGGCGGCCGGUAAGGAGGCCGCGCCGUCGGGCGGGGCUGUCGCUUCAGCUGGGUCGGACCCCGGCGAAGCGGGCUGUGGACGGAGUGGAGGAGUCCAGACAGUGGCCAAGGAGAAAGGUGGCGGCGGGACGAACGGGACGGAGCAGCGACUCCCCAUCGUGACUCUGCUGCCCUGCCCAGGCCCGGGAGCGAGUCGAAGGCGACGUAGGAAAGAGCGAGCAUGGCUGAGACCUCACUGCCGCCCACCGCCGGCGCGGAAAGUUACAGCGAGGAGCCGGCGAGGGGCGGGGAGCAGCCGCUGGAGCAGCCGCGCCACGCUGCGACCGGGGACUCGGACCCAGAGGGCGGGGCGGGGCCGCUGCUGGCCUCCCCCGGUGGACAGUCGGAGCCGGACUCGCCGGUGGCCGCCCCCUUCUUUCUGCUCUACCCGGGAGAUGGAGGUGCCGGCUUCGCAGCGCGUCCACCGCCGCAGCAGCAACAGCGUGCCUGGAGGACCCCGCCGUCGCCAGGCUCCCCGCUGCCGUUCCUGCUGCUGAGCUAUCCGGGCGGCGGCGGCGGCGGCAAGCACCAUCCUAAUUAUCUCAUGGCUAACGAACGCAUGAACCUGAUGAACAUGGCCAAGCUGAGUAUCAAGGGUUUGAUCGAAUCAGCCCUGAACCUGGGGAGAACUCUGGACUCAGACUACGCCCCUCUGCAGCAGUUCUUCGUAGUGAUGGAGCACUGCCUGAAACAUGGCCUGAAAGCUAAGAAAACUUUCCUUGGACAAAAUAAAUCCUUCUGGGGGCCUCUAGAACUGGUAGAGAAACUUGUUCCAGAAGCUGCAGAGAUAACAGCAAGUGUUAAAGAUCUUCCAGGACUUAAGACACCAGUAGGCAGAGGAAGAGCUUGGCUUCGGUUGGCAUUAAUGCAAAAGAAACUUUCAGAAUAUAUGAAAGCAUUGAUUAAUAAAAAGGAACUUCUCAGUGAAUUCUAUGAACCAAAUGCCCUCAUGAUGGAAGAAGAAGGAGCCAUAAUUGCUGGUUUGUUGGUGGGACUGAAUGUCAUUGACGCUAAUUUCUGUAUGAAAGGAGAAGAUUUGGACUCUCAGGUUGGUGUUAUAGACUUUUCUAUGUAUCUCAAGGAUGGGAACAGCAGUAAAGGUAGUGAAGGAGAUGGCCAGAUUACUGCAAUUCUGGACCAGAAGAACUAUGUAGAAGAACUCAACAGACAUCUGAAUGCUACUGUAAACAACCUUCAGGCAAAAGUGGAUGCACUAGAAAAAUCCAACACCAAACUGACAGAGGAACUUGCAGUUGCAAACAACAGGAUCAUUACCUUGCAAGAAGAAAUGGAACGAGUUAAGGAGGAAAGCUCCUACAUAUUGGAAUCCAAUCGAAAGGGUCCUAAGCAAGACAGAUCUUCAGAAGGGCAAGCUCUAAGUGAAGCAAGAAAGCAUUUAAAGGAAGAAACACAAUUACGACUGGAUGUUGAAAAAGAACUGGAGGUCCAGAUCAGCAUGAGACAGGAGAUGGAAUUGGCUAUGAAGAUGCUGGAGAAGGAUGUCUGUGAGAAGCAAGAUGCCCUGGUGUGUCUGCGGCAGCAGCUGGACGAUCUCAGGGCUCUCAAGCACGAACUUGCCUUCAAGCUUCAGAGUUCAGACUUAGGGAUGAAGCAGAAAAGUGAACUAAACAGUCGCUUGGAAGAGAAGACCAAUCAGAUGGCUGCUACCAUUAAACAACUGGAACAAAGUGAAAAGGAUUUGGUGAAACAGGCAAAGACCUUAAAUAGUGCAGCAAAUAAAUUAAUCCCAAAACAACAUCAUUAGGCAUUUUGCAGUGGGUCACCUCGCAAGUCUGAUGUCACUUGAUUAUAAAAGGAAGAAAUCUGAAAUCUGUUAUAUUUAGGCUCUGAUUUAUAUAAAACAUCACCAAAAAAUGACUUUGAAUUUGUUGGACUUAAAAAAAAACAGCCUGAUAUAUAGGCUGUGUUUUUUCUUCUUUAUUUUCUCCUCAGAAUUAGAAGAUUUAGUAUAAGUUCUUAAUUAAAUGCCAAAUAAACUUUGAGAAAUUACUUCUGAGUUGACCAAUAAAUAACUAUUCCAUUUAAAAAAGAAGCCUAGGGAAUUGAAGCUUUGUAUAUAUGUUACUGAUGCCUUUACAACCCAGUCCCUGACUAUCAGAUUCCAGCUGCAUUGUCUGUGUCAGUGAGCCUGUCCUGCCCUUGCGAUGUAGUGAACUAGAGGUGACGACCAUAUGGACUUGGACUCUUCCAAAGUAGUUCUGUGUCUCUUAGGCCAUGACCUGACCCUUUUUCACUUUUGUUAUAUAGGUUUAAUCCCCAAACCAGAAUAAGUACUUAGUAUUUCACUACAGUCCUAUUCUCAGUAACCAAGAUUGCUUGUAACUUUUUUGCCUUAGUAGUGACUUUGGGGGUGGGAAAACAGCAUCCUUACAUUUCUUUAAAGUACAUAGAAAUAAAGUUAGUGGUUAGGUAGCUUAUGAUAACAUAAUGAUGUGGAAGCUUGGGAAAACCCUCCUAAUAUUUGUCACCUUCUACCUCUGCCAUUCUUCUGCUCCACUUCCUGUUUAGGUAGUUCAGAGAGAACAGUUUUCAUAAAAACACUUCUCUCCUAUUAAAAAAAAUACACAUUUUUUAAAUCUAUCCUGCUUUUCCUUUCGGAGUAAAGUAGAUGAGGUAUUGACAUAAGUGAUGGUUUCCUACCUGUCAUUCCGUGCUAUUAACCUUUUCUUAAGAGUUUCUGUUACUUUUUGUUUAAAUGGGGGUUUGCUAAAGUUUCUAGGAAACUAACAAUCUAAUUAUUAGGAAACUAUCCCAGAGUAGGAUAUAGAGAAAUGGUAAAUAUUCUUUAUUAUUAUUUAGUCUAAGAAUAAAGAUUCACAAUAGAUACCUGCAAACAAUAAGUAACAGGGCUUCUCUCUCUUAAGUGAACACAGGUUUAACCCUUUCUAGACUUUACAUUGUAACUAAUCCUAUAAAUAACAUGAUUUUUAAAAAAUGACUUUUGAGUUGGGGGGACAGGCUUUACAUAAUAAGCCUUUAUUUCCUGAAAAAGUCAUGGCAAUUUCUUUUCCUCCUUUUUCAUUCUGGUAUUAUUUCCAGCAUUUCAGCUGCUUAGGUUGGGACAAAGGUAACCCCUUUGCUUCCUGCUCCUGAAAUUCUGUACCUUCUUAGAAAAACCAGAAUUAAGAAAAUAAGAUAGAUUUCAUGUAUGCUUUGAUAGGUCCUUGCAGACUUGAACCAAAGUCAAGUCGAAGAGCAAGCACAUGACCAAUCUCAUGGAAGAUCUUCUGCUCUUCAACUUAUUUUAUUUAUACUUUUGCACCUAUUUCUAUCUUCAUCAAUGUGCUGUGGUGACUUGCCUUUUCUAUGAGCAUUUAGAAGGAAUGCUCAAACACACAAACAAAAAAAAAAUUUUAAAGAGUACACAUAGCAUGCUUCCAUAUUCUACUUUAUAGAGCCCUGGAUGUUUCACCUCUUACACAUGCUUCUUUAAAUAGGUGCAAAAUGAUAGGAAAUAAGGAAGAAAACGUUCAUCAGAGUCUCCCAGAGAUUAUGGUCAGGAACUUUACACAGACCUAUGCCGAAUUGUUUGUCCACUACUCACACACCACUGGGUAGGAAAAGAAAAUGAAAGAUAUGGCCAAAGUCUAACGAAGGCUUCUGCUAAUAUAAUAACCCAAAGCCUGGGUAAGGAUUGGUGUAUAAUGUCCAGUUAUUUAAUACAAUUGGUGUUUUAGGGGAAGGACCAGAAAAAUAUUCUGAUUCCAUAUAUAUAAGAAGGUAGUUGCCCAUUUACAAGUUCCAGUUAUUUGUAUAAAACAGAAAUAUAAAGAACCAACUGGUUUUUCAAACCAAUUAGAAAAUAAAAACAACAAAAAAAGUGGAUUUGACUUUAAUUACUGUGUGCUUAAGGUUGGCUUUGGAUAUGGAUUUUCUAAAAAGUGAUGUUUUGUUGUUAAUCAUCUAAUGGCUGUAAACUGUAGUACUAGAAUAAAAAAAAAUGGAAAAUCACUUUUCCUCUGCCUGGUUCACCUUCAUCUUGCUUUUCUUUAGAAUUUGUUUCUUUUCCAUCUUUUUCCCCAUAAUUUCUUCCCCUGUGUCCUGCAAUGUUUGUUUUUUUUUCCUCUCUGUGUCUCUCCGUGCCUUCUUUCUUGGGUUUUAUUUUGUGUUGUGAACUUGGUCUUCCUCCCCACCAUGGCUUUUGUUUUUUAUCACAAGUUCAUAUGGCUCACAUCCAGAUUACGCCAGGCUGAGCGAGGCCGCCAGUCUGCUGAACUGGACAACCGGCUCUUCAAGCAGGACUUCGGGGACAAGAUCAACAGCAUGCAGCUGGAAGUGGAGGAGCUCAUCAGGCAGCGGAACCAGCUUGAGUUAGAGCUAAAACAGGAAAGAGAAAGAAGGUCACAGAACAACAGGAGCAUCCCAGGAAGGGAUUUCCAGAAGCCAGAACCCAAAACGGCUGCAGUCUCACCCUGUGGAUGAACAGGAUCAGCUGCUGCUCUCUGAAACGCCACAGGUGUGUCAGCUAUGCCAGGAAGGUGGCAGCACAACAAAGAAUGUUUGUAAGAACUGCAGAGGAAACUUCUGUAAUGCCUGUUCAACAAAUGAACUGCCUCUUCCUUCAAGUAUCAAGCCUGAGCGAGUUUGCAAUCCCUGCCACAAGCAUCUGAUGAAGCAGUACUCCACCAGCCCAUCCUAAGGCUGGAGGCCAAGACCUGGACCAGGAUGUCUCUACCUGUGUUAGAUACCAGGAUUCCCUAGAGUCCAGACCUUAGAAUCAGCCUAAAGUUGAUAGAAAUGCUUUAAAUAAACUGGGUUCAGGGAGAAAAAGGCAGUGAUUGGGGGUGUUGGAAAUUUUGCCCAUUUUCCCUAAUGACUAUGAAUAAAAGUUACUCAGUUGAACCUCUCUCUUCUAAAUCUAAACUACCCCACUUUGAAAGGUCAUUUCAUAGCAUGUCUGCAGAAGGGCUAUUCAUUUUUGUGAAUAGUGGUAAUACUGCAUAGAUAGAAGAGAGUUCUUAGAAAAUAAAAAGGAAAAUGAUCAUCUUCCUCUAUUACAUUUGUAGAUUCAAGGGGGAAAGAUAAAUGUUAAUUAAGAUCAAAACGACAGACAUUACAUAUUUUCCCAAGUGCUGCUAGAUAUAAACAUCGUUUCCUCUUCAACCCCACUUACUACCUCUUUGAAAGUAUCUCUACCAAACUGUGAACCCAAACUCAGGGAAAAGAAAGUAAAGAGUAAUAUAAAUUCUGAAUGCACUUAAAACAAUGUUGUAAUAUAUUGUAGGCUCAGGACUAGAAUGUUCUGGCCCUGGCCUGCAGGCGUUUUCAUUAUCAGAACAAGGUGGAGGAGCAUUUGCUUGGUUUCCCCUUAAUGACUUGAAAAGUAAGUACCUGCCUUCUUCAGAGCCUCCUACUACAAAACCAGCCGACUCUCCUCCCCACCCCUCCCUCCUCUCCAAGUCAUCACGCAAAUUGUUAGUUUUAAAGAUGGGAUUUGACUUUGCAGAUAGGGAGUAUUGAAAGCAAAACUAAAGCAGGUUUUACGUAAAACAAUUUAAUGUCCAUGGCAGAGAACAAUGAGCUUAGAAUAUUUGUUAAAUUCUCUCUUGACUAAGGGAUCCUUUGCUCUGAGCCAAGAAUCAGAACUGGUAGACAAGCCUCUUGGAGACUGCCCUACUCAGACCUCUUUCAGCAACAAGUGCUGCCGGAGCAAGAGGGAAGAGCACUUAGCAAGGGCAGGAAAGAAAUGGUGUAUGCUGUUUCUACUGUUACGCGUGUCUAGAUUGUUUGAUUGCACAUAGAACCUCAGAAGAUAAGAUUCUGUAACCAGGUUAGAAUUCUGGGGCGGAAACGUCUGGAACCACGGUAUAAGGGCUACAGCCUGGGGGAGAGUUGUUAUUUCGGAAGUCUGGCAUGUUACUUGGUGAAGCUGAGUUUUAAGAGUACUAAGGAAAAAUAAAAUCUAAUAAUUCUA